rnacentral:tRNA from 1 species
GCGAAGGUGGCGGAAUUGGUAGACGCGCUAGAUUCAGGUGUUAGUGUUCUUACGGACGUGGGGGUUCAAGUCCCCCCCCUCGCACCA